rnacentral:tRNA from 1 species
UCGGGAUAGCUCAGCUGGUAGAGCAGAGGACUGAAC